rnacentral:rRNA from 1 species
GAUCCUGGCUCAGGACGAACGCUGGCGGCGUACCUAACACAUGCAAGUCGAACGGAGAAUUUUAUUUCGGUAGAAUUCUUAGUGGCGAACGGGUGAGUAACGCGUAGGCAACCUGCCCUUUAGACGGGGACAACAUUCCGAAAGGAGUGCUAAUACCGGAUGUGAUCAUCGUGCCGCAUGGCAGGAUGAAGAAAGAUGGCCUCUACAAGUAAGCUAUCGCUAAAGGAUGGGCCUGCGUCUGAUUAG